AGUUUCCUCUAUCGGUGCUGAGAUUUCGUCACACACUAAACCACAUGGGCUGAUGAGACUUCCAAGGUAAGUGAAGCG
rnacentral:pre_miRNA from 1 species